UGGGGUGUGGCUCAGUGGUAGAGCACUUGCCCAGCAUGCAGAGGCCCUGGGUUCCAUUCCUAGCACUGCAG
rnacentral:tRNA from 2 species